UUUUAGCAGGGUUUUGCGUUAGGGAUGGAAGCGGCAUCCUUUUUGUUUUUUCUUUAAAAACAAAAAGAUAUAGCGAACAGCCCGACCCUUG
rnacentral:sRNA from 1 species